rnacentral:rRNA from 1 species
GAUCAACGCUGGCGGCGUGCCUAACACAUGCAAGUCGAACGAGAAAGGGUGGGUGUAGCAAUACAUUCGCCUGAGUAAAGUGGCGACCGGGUGAGUAGCACGUGGCCAACCUACCCUCGAGCGGGGGAGUAACCUGGGGAACGUCGGCUAAUACCGCAUAACGUCCCGAUGGCACAAGCCAAUGGGACCAAAGGCCCGCAAGGGUCACUUGGGGAGGGGCGUGGCGCCGAUUAGCUAGAUGGNGAGGUAACGGCCCACCAUGGCUUUGAUCGGUAGCCGGCUGAGAGGGCGCACGGUCACACUGGCAC